rnacentral:rRNA from 1 species
GGGUUGUGAGGUUAAGCGACUAAGCGUACACGGUGGAUGCCCUGGCAGUCAGAGGCGAUGAAGGGCGUGCUAAUCUGCGAUAAGCGCCGGUAAGGUGAUAUGAACCGUUAUAACCGGCGAUACCCGAAUGGGGAAACCCAGUGUGAUUCGUCACACUAUCAUUAACUGAAUCCAUAGGUUAAUGAGGCGAACCGGGGGAACUGAAACAUCUAAGUACCCCGAGGAAAAGAAAUCAACCGAGAUUCCCCCAGUAGCGGCGAGCGAACGGGGAGGAGCCCAGAGCCUGAAUCAGCAUGUGUGUUAGUGGAAGCGUCUGGAAAGGCGCGCGAUACAGGGUGACAGCCCCGUACACAAAAGCGCAUGUGCUGUGAGCUCGAUGAGUAGGGCGGGACACGUGGUAUCCUGUCUGAAUAUGGGGGGACCAUCCUCCAAGGCUAAAUACUCCUGACUGACCGAUAGUGAACCAGUACCGUGAGGGAAAGGCGAAAAGAACCCCGGCGAGGGGAGUGAAAAAGAACCUGAAACCGUGUACGUACAAGCAGUGGGAGCNNNNNNNNNNNNGGGCGUUAAGUUGCAGGGUAUAGACCCGAAACCCGGUGAUCUAGCCAUGGGCAGGUUGAAGGUUGGGUAACACUAACUGGAGGACCGAACCGACUAAUGUUGAAAAAUUAGCGGAUGACCUGUGGCUGGGGGUGAAAGGCCAAUCAAACCGGGAGAUAGCUGGUUCUCCCCGAAAGCUAUUUAGGUAGCGCCUCGUGAAUUCAUCUCCGGGGGUAGAGCACUGUUUCGGCUAGGGGGCCAUCCCGGCUUACCAACCCGAUGCAAACUGCGAAUACCGGAGAAUGUUAUCACGGGAGACACACGGCGGGUGCUAACGUCCGUCGUGAAGAGGGAAACAACCCAGACCGCCAGCUAAGGUCCCAAAGUCAUGGUUAAGUGGGAAACGAUGUGGGAAGGCCCAGACAGCCAGGAUGUUGGCUUAGAAGCAGCCAUCAUUUAAAGAAAGCGUAAUAGCUCACUGGUCGAGUCGGCCUGCGCGGAAGAUGUAACGGGGCUAAACCAUGCACCGAAGCUGCGGCAGCGACACUGUGUGUUGUUGGGUAGGGGAGCGUUCUGUAAGCCUGCGAAGGUGGCCUGUGAGGGUUGCUGGAGGUAUCAGAAGUGCGAAUGCUGACAUAAGUAACGAUAAAGCGGGUGAAAAGCCCGCUCGCCGGAAGACCAAGGGUUCCUGUCCAACGUUAAUCGGGGCAGGGUGAGUCGACCCCUAAGGCGAGGCCGAAAGGCGUAGUCGAUGGGAAACGGGUUAAUAUUCCCGUACUUGGUGUUACUGCGAAGGGGGGACGGAGAAGGCUAUGUUGGCCGGGCGACGGUUGUCCCGGUUUAAGCGUGUAGGUGUGUGUUCCAGGUAAAUCCGGUUCACUUUAACACUGAGGCGUGACGACGAGGCACUACGGUGCUGAAGCAACAAAUGCCCUGCUUCCAGGAAAAGCCUCUAAGCAUCAGGUAACAUCAAAUCGUACCCCAAACCGACACAGGUGGUCAGGUAGAGAAUACCAAGGCGCUUGAGAGAACUCGGGUGAAGGAACUAGGCAAAAUGGUGCCGUAACUUCGGGAGAAGGCACGCUGACACGUAGGUGAAGUGAUUUACUCAUGGAGCUGAAGUCAGUCGAAGAUACCAGCUGGCUGCAACUGUUUAUUAAAAACACAGCACUGUGCAAACACGAAAGUGGACGUAUACGGUGUGACGCCUGCCCGGUGCCGGAAGGUUAAUUGAUGGGGUCAGCGCAAGCGAAGCUCCUGAUCGAAGCCCCGGUAAACGGCGGCCGUAACUAUAACGGUCCUAAGGUAGCGAAAUUCCUUGUCGGGUAAGUUCCGACCUGCACGAAUGGCGUAAUGAUGGCCAGGCUGUCUCCACCCGAGACUCAGUGAAAUUGAACUCGCUGUGAAGAUGCAGUGUACCCGCGGCAAGACGGAAAGACCCCGUGAACCUUUACUAUAGCUUGACACUGAACAUUGAGCCUUGAUGUGUAGGAUAGGUGGGAGGCUUUGAAGUGUGGACGCCAGUCUGCAUGGAGCCGACCUUGAAAUACCACCCUUUAAUGUUUGAUGUUCUAACGUGGACCCGUUACCCGGGUUGCGGACAGUGUCUGGUGGGUAGUUUGACUGGGGCGGUCUCCUCCUAAAGAGUAACGGAGGAGCACGAAGGUUGGCUAAUCCUGGUCGGACAUCAGGAGGUUAGUGCAAUGGCAUAAGCCAGCUUGACUGCGAGCGUGACGGCGCGAGCAGGUGCGAAAGCAGGUCAUAGUGAUCCGGUGGUUCUGAAUGGAAGGGCCAUCGCUCAACGGAUAAAAGGUACUCCGGGGAUAACAGGCUGAUACCGCCCAAGAGUUCAUAUCGACGGCGGUGUUUGGCACCUCGAUGUCGGCUCAUCACAUCCUGGGGCUGAAGUAGGUCCCAAGGGUAUGGCUGUUCGCCAUUUAAAGUGGUACGCGAGCUGGGUUUAGAACGUCGUGAGACAGUUCGGUCCCUAUCUGCCGUGGGCGCUGGAGAACUGAGGGGGGCUGCUCCUAGUACGAGAGGACCGGAGUGGACGCAUCACUGGUGUUCGGGUUGUCAUGCCAAUGGCACUGCCCGGUAGCUAAAUGCGGAAGAGAUAAGUGCUGAAAGCAUCUAAGCACGAAACUUGCCCCGAGAUGAGUUCUCCCUGAGACUUAGAGUCUCCUGAAGGAACGUUGAAGACGACGACGUUGAUAGGCCGGGUGUGUAAGCGCAGCGAUGCGUUGAGCUAACCGGUACUAAUGAACCGUGAGGCUUAACCUUACAACGCCGAAG